GGACUACCCGGGUUUCUAAUCCUGUUUGCUCCCCACGCUUUCGUGCCUCAGCGUCAGUACAAGGCCAGUAAGCUGCCUUCGCUAUCGGUAUUCCUUAUGGUAUCUAAGCAUUUCACUGCUACACCAUAAAUUCUGCUUACCUCUCCUUGACUCGAGCUCUUCAGUUUCAAUGGCAGUUCUAGUGUUAAGCACUAGGCUUUCACCACUGACUUAAAGAGCCGCCUACGCACCCUUUAAACCCAGUAAAUCCGGAUAACGCUUGCACCCUCCGUAUUACCGCGGCUGCUGGCAC
rnacentral:rRNA from 1 species